rnacentral:lncRNA from 12 species
GGAAGAGGCAAGUCCCCAGAGAAAAACUGGGAAUGGCCAACAGGCCCCUGAGAAAAUAUUGCCCUUCCCCAGCAGGCAGAGAAAGGCCCAGGAAUACACAAAGGGAGAGUCACAGAGCCCAGGCUGGUGCUGCUUAAGAAGGACGCGGCAGCAGAGGCGAGCUGUGCUAGCGGCCCCGCCGAACGCCACCUCGCGGGCAGCAGCCCACACGGCAGGGGGGCGGUGCCCCGAGCAGUGACGAAGGCCUCACGUGACCCGCCAACGCUGACUCGCGCGCCUCGCUGUAGCGCCAGACCCGGCCUUCGCUCGCUCGCUCGCUCGCUCGCUCGCCCGCCCGCCCGCUCGUCGGUACCUGCUCCCGGUGGCCCUGAAGGCGGCGGACCAGGGGCGGCCCCAAAGAGUAGGAGGCGGAGGGGGAGCAGGGGGGCUGCGGCGGCCGAACGCUUCGCGCGGACCCGACGCUACCCAGCCCCUCACGGGCCCCCCACGGCCCUGCCCCCACCCCCACCCCCAGCCGCCCCAUCCCCCGCGCUGACCACCAUUUUCUACACCAAGAAGGACCGGCGCGGCGCGGUGCGGGGCGGGGCGGGGCGAGAGGCAGGUGAUGCCGAAGGGUCAGCGCCUCACCACAGCCCGGCGCUCCGCCUACCAUUUUCUGCAGCCAAACGCGGGCCGCGGUGGGGCGGGAGGCUGCGGUCCCCCCGCCGCUUCGCCCCGGGGCUGCGGCACCCCGGUGGGCUCCGCGGCCCGUGUGGGCUCUCCCACACCAAGCCCAGGGAUCGCUCCCCGUCCGCCGGGUCCCUUACCUGCUCCCCCUCCGCCUCCUACUCUUUGGGGCCGCCCCUGGUCCGCCGCCUUCAGGGCCACCGGGAGCAGGUACCGACGAGCGGGCGGGCGGGCGAGCGAGCGAGCGAGCGAGCGAGCGAAGGCCGGGUCUGACGCUACAGCGAGGCGCGCGAGUCAGCGUUGGCGGGUCACGUGAGGCCUUCGUCACUGCUCGGGGCACCGCCCCCCUGCCGUGUGGGCUGCUGCCCGCGAGGUGGCGUUCGGCGGGGCCGCUAGCACAGCUCGCCUCUGCUGCCGCGUCCUUCUUAAGCAGCACCAGCCUGGGCUCUGUGACUCUCCCUUUGUGUAUUCCUGGGCCUUUCUCUGCCUGCUGGGGAAGGGCAAUAUUUUCUCAGGGGCCUGUUGGCCAUUCCCAGUUUUUCUCUGGGGACUUGCCUCUUCCUAUCCUCUGCUCCUGGGAUACACCCCCCGCCAUGACCUGCGCUCAAAAUUUAAGGGGGCACAGAAAACCUCGGUAGUGAAGAUAAUCGC